CUUUCAUGGGAGUGCGCGCGGACCGGAUGGAGUUGCCAUGGAAACGGAGCGCAACACUGCAAAUGUCAUGAGGAAACAACCCGUUUCUCGCUGAUUUCACUGUUUUCAGGAAUGGUUUAAUGUCUUCGAAAAAGUCCGUUAGCAUUUCUACCGUUUUCAGACGACAUAUGGUCAGUGACAAAAUAAUCCUUCUACAACAGA